AGCAUCUGAAAUAAGUAGGACCACCU
rnacentral:rRNA from 1 species